AUUGAACGCUGGCGGCAUGCUUUACACAUGCAAGUCGAACGGCAGCAUGGGUGCUUGCACCUGAUGGCGAGUGGCGAACGGGUGCGUAAUGUAUCGGAACAUAUCCGCAAGUGGGGGAUAACGUAGCGAAAGUUACGCUAAUACCGCAUAUUCCCUGAGGGGGAAAGGAGGGGAUCCGCAAGGACCUUUCGCUUACGGAGUGGCCGAUAUCAGAUUAGCUAGUUGGUGAGGUAAAGGCUCACCAAGGCGACGAUCUGUAGCGGGUCUGAGAGGAUGAUCCGCCACACUGGGACUGAGACACGGCCCAGACUCCUACGGGAGGCAGCAGUGGGGAAUUUUGGACAAUGGGCGCAAGCCUGAUCCAGCCAUGCCGCGUGAGUGAAGAAGGCCUUCGGGUUGUAAAGCUCUUUCAGCUGGAAAAAAAUCGCUUCACCUAAUACGUGGAGUGGAUGAUGGUACCAGCAGAAGAAGCACCGGCUAACUACGUGCCAGCAGCCGCCGUAA
rnacentral:rRNA from 1 species